rnacentral:lncRNA from 1 species
CACCCCUAUGAAGUCAUUUGGAUUGAUUAUCUCCCCUUAAUACAUUAUACACAAAGUAUAACCUACCAUUACCUCAAACCUGACAGUAUAAAAUACAAUUCUUUUUUGUUCACAACAUAUGAAGUCAUUUGGAUUGAUUAUCUCCCCUUAAUACAUUAUACACAAAGUAUAACCUACCGUUACCUCAAACCUGACAGUAUAAAACAAUCUUUUUUUGUUCACCCCUAUGAAGUCAUUUGGAUUGAUUAUCUCCCCUUUAUACAUUAUACACAAAGUAUAACCUACCGUUACCUCAAACCUGACAGUAUAAAACAAAUCUUUUUUGUUCACCCCCU